AUUGAACGCUGGCGGCAUGCUUUACACAUGCAAGUCGAACGGCAGCGCGGGCUUCGGCCUGGCGGCGAGUGGCGAACGGGUGAGUAAUACAUCGGAACGUGCCCAGUCGUGGGGGAUAGCUCGGCGAAAGCCGGAUUAAUACCGCAUACGACCUGAGGGUGAAAGCGGGGGAUCUUCGGCCACCGCCCGUUUGGGUGGCCCGAUGGCAGAUUAGCUCGUUGGUGGGGUAAGGGCCUACCAAGGCGACGAUCUGUAGCUGGUCUGAGAGGACGACCAGCCACACUGGGACUGAGACACGGCCCAGACUCCUACGGGAGGCAGCAGUGGGGAAUUUUGGACAAUGGGCGAAAGCCUGAUCCAGCAAUGCCGCGUGUGUGAUGAAGGCCUUCGGGUUGUAAAGCACUUUUGGCGGGAACGAAAAGGACUGUGCCAAUACCACGGUUCGAUGACGGUACCCGCAGAAUAAGCACCGGCUAACUACGUG
rnacentral:rRNA from 1 species